GUACAGAGAAAGUGACGAAAAAUGCCCGUAAACGAGUACUGUCCCCGGUACCACCAGGAAACGAGGAGGAAGUAUCAUACUUAUUAGAAUAUUUAGAAUCUGGUGUACUCAACAAUGAUGACAAUGAAGAUGAUCCUGAUUCUAUUUGCAAGAAUACACCGGAGUCAAUCAGUCAGAACAUCACCGACAAUCCAAUA